AUUGAACGCUGGCGGCAGGCCUAACACAUGCAAGUCGAACGGUAACAGGAAGAUGGUUGUGUCUUUGCUGGCGAGAGGCGGACGGGAGAGUAAUGUAUGGGAAACUGCGUGAUGGAGGGGGAGAACUACUGGGAACGGUAGCCAAUACCGAAUAACGGCGGAAGACCAGAGAGGGGGACAUUCGGGCCUCUUGCCAUCGGCGGUGCCCAGGUGGGAAUAGCGAGGAGGUGGGGUAACGGCACACCAAGGCGACGAUCCGGACCUGGUCUGCGAGGAGGACCAGCCACACUGGGACUGAGCCACGGCCCAGACUCCUACGGGAGGCAGCAGUGGGGAAUUUUGGACAAAGGGCGAAAGCCUGAUCCAGCAAUGCCGCGUGUGUGAUGAAGGCCUUCGGGUUGUAAAGCACUUUGGGCGGGAACGAAAAGGACUGUGCCAAUACCUCGGUUCGAGGACGGUACCCGCAGAAUAAGCACCGGCUAACUACGUG
rnacentral:rRNA from 1 species